rnacentral:lncRNA from 1 species
UAGAUAUCGUUAGUUUAGCUUCUCAUUAUAUAUUAUGUUGAUUUUGUUUUCCUGUUUUUUUCCUCUAGAGAAAAUUUGGAAUUCAUUAAUAUAAAAAGAAAUAGGAAGGAGUGAGGUAUGAAGUACACAAUAAGCAGAGUGAAGUAGAGUGCCAUUUAUCAAACACCGGCCAGGUCUGUAAUCUUCUGUUUUAUCCUUUCUUUGUACUUUAUUUGCCUUUAUUGUUGCAAAGAGGGAUAUUCACCCAGAGCAGUGGGCAUGAAGCCCUGAUAAACCUCCUCUUUCCCGUCUUUCCCUCCACUUACUCCUUCUUGUCAGCCUUGUCAGUAUAAUUUGUUUAUUUCCUUCUAG